rnacentral:rRNA from 1 species
AAUCAACGCUGGCGGCGUGCCUAACACAUGCAAGUCGAGCGAGAAAAGGGGGGCAACUCCCUGAGUACAGCGGCGCACGGGUGAGUAACACGUGGGUAAUCUGCCCUGGAGUGGGGAAUAACACCGGGAAACCGGUGCUAAUACCGCAUACGAUAACGAGGUCUGCGGACUUUGUUAUGAAAGGAGCAAUUCGCUCCAGGAGGAGCCCGCGGCUGAUUAGCUAGUUGGUGGGGUAAUGGCUCACCAAGGCUACGAUCAGUAUCCGGUCUGAGAGGACGGUCGGACACACUGGAACUGAGACACGGUCCAGACUCCUACGGGAGGCAGCAGUGGGGAAUUUUUGGCAAUGGGGGAAACCCUGACCAAGCAACGCCGCGUGGGUGAUGAAGUCUCUUGGGACGUAAAACCCUUUCGACGGGGAAGAAACCGCAAGGUUGACGGUACCCGUAGAAGAAGCCCCGGCUAACUCCGUGCCAGCAGCCGCAGUAAGAC